rnacentral:rRNA from 2 species
AUCGGUGCUUGCACCGAGAUUCAACAUGGAACGAGUGGCGGACGGGUGAGUAACACGUGGGUAACCUGCCCUUAAGUGGGGGAUAACAUUUGGAAACAGAUGCUAAUACCGCAUAGAUCCAAGAACCGCAUGGUUCUUGGCUGAAAGAUGGCGUAAGCUAUCGCUUUUGGAUGGACCCGCGGCGUAUUAGCUAGUUGGUGAGGUAAUGGCUCACCAAGGCGAUGAUACGUAGCCGAACUGAGAGGUUGAUCGGCCACAUUGGGACUGAGACACGGCCCAAACUCCUACGGGAGGCAGCAGUAGGGAAUCUUCCACAAUGGACGCAAGUCUGAUGGAGCAACGCCGCGUGAGUGAAGAAGGCUUUCGGGUCGUAAAACUCUGUUGUUGGAGAAGAAUGGUCGGCAGAGUAACUGUUGUCGGCGUGACGGUAUCCAACCAGAAAGCCACGGCUAACUACGUGCCAGCAGCCGCGGUAAUACGUAGGUGGCAAGCGUUAUCCGGAUUUAUUGGGCGUAAAGCGAGCGCAGGCGGUUUUUUAAGUCUGAUGUGAAAGCCCUCGGCUUAACCGAGGAAGCGCAUCGGAAACUGGGAAACUUGAGUGCAGAAGAGGACAGUGGAACUCCAUGUGUAGCGGUGAAAUGCGUAGAUAUAUGGAAGAACACCAGUGGCGAAGGCGGCUGUCUGGUCUGUAACUGACGCUGAGGCUCGAAAGCAUGGGUAGCGAACAGGAUUAGAUACCCUGGUAGUCCAUGCCGUAAACGAUGAAUGCUAGGUGUUUGGAAGGGUUUCCGCCCUUCAGUGCCGCAGCUAACGCAUUAAGCAUUCCGCCUGGGGGAGUACGACCGCAAGGUUGAAACUCAAAGGAAUUGACGGGGGCCCGCACAAGCGGUGGAGCAUGGUGGUUUAAUUCGAAGCAACGCGAAGAACCUUACCAGGUCUUGACAUCUUUUGAUCACCUGAGAGAUCAGGUUUCCCCUUCGGGGGCAAAAUGACAGGUGGUGGCAGGGUUGUCGUCAGCUCCUGUCCUGGAAAUGUUUGGGGUUAAGUCCCCCCACCAAGCGCAACCCCUUAUGACUAAGUUGCCAGGCAUUUAAGUUGGGCACUCCUAGUAAAAACUGCCGGGUGACAAACCCGAAGAAAAGAGGGGGGG